rnacentral:rRNA from 1 species
GAUGAACGCUAGCGGCAGGCUUAAUACAUGCAAGUCGAGGGGUAGCAAGAUUGUAGCAAUACAAUUGUUGACGACCGGCAAACGGGUGCGGAACACGUACACAACCUUCCUACAAGUGGGGAAUAGCCCAGAGAAAUUUGGAUUAAUACCCCGUAACAUAGCGAUGUGGCAUCACAUUGCUAUUAUAGCUUCGGCGCUUGUUGAUGGGUGUGCGGCUGAUUAGAUAGUUGGCGGGGUAACGGCCCACCAAGUCUACGAUCAGUAGCUGAAGUGAGAGCAUGAUCAGCCACACGGGAACUGAGACACGGGCCCGACUCCUACGGGAGGCAGCAGUAAGGAAUAUUGGACAAUGGACGCAAGUCUGAUCCAGCCAUGCCGCGUGAAGGAUUAAGGUCCUCUGGAUUGUAAACUUCUUUUAUAAGGGACGAAAAAAGGUCUUUCUAGAUCGUCUGACGGUACCUUAUGAAUAAGCACCGGCUAACUCCGUGCCAGCAGCCGCAGUAA